GAUGCACUGGAACUCCAUCUCCAACAAUUGUGACUGUGUGAUUGGAAAGGCUGGUGCUACACAACCAAACGAAACCCCCCUCCUCUCUCUGGAUGAGCUGUUAGGGCACCCUUUGCCUCUUCCCAGGAAUCUUGCUGGCCAGCUAAUUGCUCAGCUAGGGAGGCAUCUGCAGUCAGUGACAUCUAGGACAAUGAGGACUAGUCAUCCUGAAGAGGUGAUAACGCACAAUGUAGCAUUACAGUGUAAGGACUGGAGGGAGGACUAGGCCUCGCUUAGAGCCAAAUCAAAGGGACCAGCUCAGAGGACUGGGCGGGAUUCCUGGCUCCACCCCCAGCAGAAGCUCUGGUCUCCUGGUGAGUCUGUCCCAGGAGGAGGAGGAGGAGGAGGAGGACCCCGAGGAAGAAGCAGGCCGAGAGCUGCUGGGGAGAUGGGAAGAAGGCCGCAGCCUGUGAGGAAGAAGGACCAGGACAUCCGUGCAAGGCCUCCGGAGGGAAGUGGUUCUUCUGUGAGGAUCGCUGGGGAUCUGCAUUGCCAGGUCUGAGGACUGCAAAGCAGAAGAAAGAAAGAAAGGGCGGAGGCCAGGAACCAUAGAGCAGAGGGCCUUCCUCCACCCAGCCCAGGACAUUCCCCAACACUUGCUGGGUUGCCAUGAUGCUCUGCUCUAGAUGAGCUUCCGUGGGCUGGAUCACCAGCCCUCCUCACACGAUGAGAUCUAAGAUUUCUUCCUCCAGCAAAAUGAAGCCAGCUCUUCCAAUUCAUCUAAUAGCAGCAGUCCUGCACGUGGCUGUGUCCAGAGUCAACCAGCUGGACCCAGGGACGCAGGGAUAUUCUUAUUGAGCUUUUUUUCUCCUGCGCCACAAACUCCUGCUGCCUCCACUCCCGGGGUCCUUGUCUCAUUUGAGACCACUUCAGAAUCUUUUCUAUGUCAUCCUUGUCUGGACCCAGUUCUUGUCUGCCAUUACGGAAGAUGUCAAAGACGUCAGGUCGUUGGGUGGUCAACUCCAUUCCUAUGAUAAGGACGAGGCCAUGGAAGCCGUACUGACUAUGGGAAACACCUAUAUCAGGCAGCAGCGAUAUAGGAAGAUGCUGAAAGGCUCAUACUGCGUGGGAGAUGGCCAUGCUUCUUCGUGCUGUGGAUAAUCAUCACUGCAGCCUGCCUGAAGCAACUCCAGCCCCAGCGUGCCAUCCAUCCUGCAAUAAUUUCAUCCUUUUUUUGAGAAAAAGAGAAGAGGAGGAGGAAAAUUAUUUUUUUUUAAAGAAAAAUCUGCCUUGCUGCAAGGCCAGCCUGCUGGCUGUGCAUCCAGUCUCUCCUGCAUUUUCUGUCUUUGUUUUAAAUUGAGUAAGAAAGAAUAUUGGUAGAAAAGGAGGGGUUUUUUUCUCCUUUUUAAAUUUCCCCCCUGAUUUUUUGCAACUUCUUCCUGCUGUGGAAAGAGAAAAUCAUUCAUCACUGCUGCCUGUGCCUGCCUGCCUGCCUGCCUGCCUGCACUUCCACUCCAGGCCCAGUGUGCCAUCCUCCUGUGACCAGACCCUCAGAGGGGGACUACAGAGACCCAGCGUUGGAGAAGCCUUCAACUGAGUGAGAGUGGCCCAACCAUUUAUAUUUCACACACACACACACACCACCACCACCACACACACACACACACACACAGAUCUUUCUCUAGUCUCCCUUCAAUUGUGUAUUUGGGGUUUAUUUUAUCCCUGUUUGGAGGGAGGUUAAGGUUUGGGGGUUUAACUGUUCUCUAAAAGUUUUGUGAUAUUUGGAAGAUUGGGUUUUAAAUAGGGGUCCUUCAGUGUGUGUUGCCUUAGAGUCUAUAGGCUGGAUCCCCAUUAGCUAGGUAGUAGUAGGUGGUGGUUCAACUGUAGAGUAGACUGGAAGCGUAGCCUAGUAGUGCUUUAAAUAAAUAAUUCUUUUUUCCCCUCCCAAGAAAUUUUAUUUUAAAGAGGAAAGGAGCCUGAGCCUGUUCCAGUGCUUGCGCUAAUAAAGGAUUAAUUCAGCUCAAUGGUCUCAGCACUGACUCCUCCUAUCCUGAGUCCUGCAUACACUUUUGUGUUGUUGCUUUUUAAAAAAUAUUGAAAGCCCCUAGCCCAGUGGCGUAUAUAGGGAAAAUAGCACCCAGGGCAAGCACUGAAAUUGUGCCCCCCCCAUCCAAACAUCUGACACCCAUCUUUCAGAUAACUCUCUCAGCCUCAUUCCCUUAUUUGCAAAAUGUGAACAUUAACAGGAUUACUUAAUUCUAUAACUGUAGGAAGAAGAAUGUUUUCAGCUGUAAUAUCUCCAAAUACUAUAGCACUAUAGCUGCCAAAAUACUGCUUUGUACCCAGCUAUUAAAAGCCGAUGAACCCUAUACUGUAUGGAAUCUGAUAUCAAUGGCCCAUCUCAUAAGCAUAUGAUGGAGAAGCAUUUAUUUAUGCAUUCCAUUUAUAUCCCGCCUUUCUUCCAUCAUGGAAUUCCAACUAUAUAUGUGGUCAGUGUUCCCUCUAUCACGGAUUCCCAGAUGUUGUUGACUACAACUCCCAUAUUCCCCAGCUGUGAUGGCUUUUGCAUAGGGAUUAUGAGACCUGUAGUCAACAACAUCUGGGAACACUGCAUGGGGUUCCCAAGUGAUUACACAUCCAGGCACUGACUACAACUGGAUCUGUUUAGCUUCAGCAAAGGGGUUGUAUUAUAUGGCCUCAGCCCAUGGGAUGAAGUAGAGAAUAGUGCUGCAGUACUCUGUACACUUUGCACAGAAUUCACAAGGAAGAUGCCAAAGGGCCAACUAGCAUGUAGGAAACGACACUAUCUUGGGGUACUGGGGGUGGUUUGAGUGUGUGUGUGUGUGUGUGUGUGUGUGUGUGUGUGUGUGUGUGUUUUGCUAAGUUUCUUAUAGCUUGAACACACGAGAGGCAGAAAUUCAAUAAGUACAGCUUUUUCUAGCAUGAAAGUAUAGUUCCAAGAAAUCUGCAUCUAUUGAAUUUUUGACCUGUCGUGGUUGCUAAAGACACAGAAUCUCUCUUAGGAAACAGGUGGCAGCCCUAUUGAUUGUAGGUAUGGUAAAAGAAAUCGUUGUUACAGAUAGUCUUAUAUUUAAAAAAAAGGAUGGCUUAGUAUCUCUUAUAUGUACAUGCUCAUAUUCAUACAUGAUCUCUACCUCAGACACACACAUGCAAGAAUGAUAUAAUCUAUAUAAACACAACCUCCCUGUGUUUUCCCACCACUCCUUAUUUCAGAGGCUCUUCUUAACGCAAUUUCAAAGACACUAACAAUCCCCAAAGCAACCAGCCACAUUCUAUAUUUCUAGAGCAUCUUUACCUCCAACAACCAAUCCUGAACUCUAGCAAAGCAACCUGAGCUUGUUCACUGGGUAUAACUUCUCACACAAAGCUAAUUCAAACCAAUUUCAGGUUUAGAAACUAUGGAGGUUCAGAUAAAGGACUUGAAGCAAAUGCUCUUCUCAUCAAUAGUUUUGAUAAUGUCUCUUGUUUGUGUGUACUUAGAAGACCUGACUACACAUGCGUAAGAAAUUAUUUUCUGCGACUUUUCAUUGUUUACUCUCUGGGUUAGUCACAAAUUACUCCAAAAGGGGUAAAUGGGGUCCAUCAGGUACAGGUCUUGGCAGGAUUAUGCAAACUGCUACCUAAAUAUGUAGUAAAGACCAAAGCUUUUGUGAGGGAUCAGACAAACCCCCCCUCUUUUUUAAAAAGUCAGAGAGACCCUAAAAAGGAUGAACAAUCUCUAUCAGAGAAAUGGGAAGAAAAUCGCUCUCCCCCUCUGCUCUGAAUCUUAUGCUGAACAGGCACCAACAGGGGCAUUCAAACUGCAAGAGCAUUUCAGUUAAAAGGCUUCAGCAAAGUACUGUUGUGAGUGUAGAAGUGAGACAGAAGACUAUUGACAUUUAUACUGUUACUGUUACAUGAGUAAGUGGUAAGCUGCAGAUAUGUUUUCUUCUCCCUUCACAAGUAUGAGCGUUUCUCUUUUCCCCACCCUCCUGUUAUCAGUGAUAUCCAGGAUCUGCAGGUGUUGAACUACAACUCCCA